AUACGGAGGAUCCGAGCGUUAUCCGGAUUUAUUGGGUUUAAAGGGUGCGCAGGCGGCCAUUUAAGUCAGCGGUUAAAUCGUGGGGCUCAACCCCAUUCUGCCGUUGAUACUGGGUGGCUUGAUUGCGGUCGAGGUUGGCGGAAUUCGUUGUGUAGCGGUGAAAUGCAUAGAUAUGACGAAGAACACCGAUUGCGUAGGCAGCUGACCAGACCGCAAAUGACGCUCAUGCACGAAAGUGCGGGGAUCGAACAGGAUUAGAUACCCUGGUAGUCCGCACAGUAAUCGAUGAAUACUUGUUUUCGGCGAUAUAAUGUCGGAGGCAAAGCGAAAGCGAUAAGUAUUCCACCUGGGGAGUACGCCGGCAACGGUGAAACUCAAAUGAAUUGGCGGGG
rnacentral:rRNA from 1 species